UACAUCCUGGACAUACCAGGCUACACAUGCAUAUGCUGCAUAACCCAUAAACUGAUAUUUCUACGUGGGAAUUCCUAAACAGAAAUACGGGCUUAAUAAUAAUGUCUUAAAUAGUCCUAAUUUUAAUGAAUACUGUGACCGCAGCACAAGAAUCUGGGUAGUUGCAUAUCUGAUACAGUAUACUGCAACCAGCUAAGGAAACAUGAUCAAAUAGGGCUUUAGACAGGAGAUUUUAAACCCUUUCUGUGGCCAGAGCCAAAUUCCAUUAGUAAUUUUAGUUCAUGGGCCAAGGUUUAUAUUUAGGACUUUAUACACGCCUCAGGCAAUACUUACAUUGCCUGCGGCAUCAAAGCAUUCAGCUCUAGGACAGAACGUUGCCCCAAGUGUUUUAAAAUAUCAUGGGCUUGUCCUUAGAAUAUCGUUAGGUUUCUAAAAAGACGUGAUAUUGCUGUGUUUGUCUUGGAAACAAUACAUCUGGACCCUUUUUGUUGUUUGGUAGCCUGUUAUAGAAGGUGGCCUAAUUCCGUUUUAAAGCUUUUCUGUCCUUCAACACUGAAGGUGUUUCUUUAUUGAAGAAUUUUUCCUCCCCUGUGGAUGCUAAAGGAAGCACAACCUUAUGAAGAAGCCUCUUUAAUACUUCCAAGGCACCUGUGAAGUGAUUGGAGUCAGGAGAAGCAAGACUUUGUUUUGAAGGGAAUAUAAGGUGAGAUAGACAUGGAGAGGGAGCUGUUUACCCCACGUCACGCUUAUGGCACAGAUAGGAAUUGGGCACAAGUCUUUAAACUCCCAUGUUUUGCAGCCAGACCACUGAAUGCUACUUUUAUGGAGUUGAGUACGUGGUGGUGGGAGCAGGGAAUGUAACUGGCCCAGGACAGGUGGUUGCGUGAAAAGAGGCAAAGGCAGCAGCCCCAGCUGGAGGAAGAAACUGGUAGGAAAGAACUACUCCUUUUUUCCCCUGCUUGGACUGUGAUUGAACCCUGGCAAUGCUGGGAUUUAAUUUUCUCUGCUAUUUGGGUGUGACUCGGGGGGUGUUCCACCGCAACCCAAUUCCAUGGCAUGCCCACCCCAUGGGCAACAUUGGCUAGCAGUAAUUAAAUGCCCUGGCAUCGAUUCAGGCAUGCUCUGGGGUAGGGACUCCUAUUGGUUUGGGGACAAUGUUUGAAAGCAGAGGUGUCAUUUGGUCUCUGUUUCUCAUAAAAUCUGACACAAGCAGCUGCACCAGACUCCUGAUGAGCUCUCCCAAGGAGCCAGACAUUCAUCAGUGGUUACAUCAGCCUUUGCAGCACCAGCGAGAUGGACUCUGUAAGCUGUGUCUAUCCUUCAGGGUCCUCUUCUGCACCCUACAGAUAAUGACCUUGAUUCAAAAAUAUACUGUCUGUCUCCAAAUGAAUGGAUCUGUCUUCAGAGAAAUCCAUCCCAAUUCUUUACCAGGACAAAUGCUGGAUAAAUCCGAGAGAAGUACAUGGCAUGGAUGAAGGGAAAAAUCUUUCUCUCUCAUGUGACUCCCUGUUUACGGCAUCACCAGGAGAGAUGGACUGGACAACAGACUCAUCUGGCAGAGAGAAAAGCAGCUGAAAAAUUGUUCCGUCAAAUACCUCCAGUGCAUGCUUUAUCCCAUUUGCUCUGCUGAUACCACUGUUAAAUAAUCUGGCCUAAGCAUCGUUCCUGCAAGUGCAGCUGAAAGAGUGAAUGGAACUUCUGCUGACCCACUGACUUGUCUACACACAGGUCACCCAUCACAGUAUCUUAUAUCAUGAGGCAAUGCUCUCAGCUCCAUAAGUCAAACUGUUCUGCAUCUUCCUCCUUUUUAAUUUAUGCAAAUAUUUUGUCAAUGGACCUGCAAAUAUUUAUGUUAUUUUAAGAUGCACGAUAUUAUUUAGUCUGCUUUAUAAAUGUAUUUUGCGUGUUAGGGAAGACUAAGCUUGUAAGCUUUCGUCCCACUUCUUGAACAAGCUAAACUGCCUGAAAUUAAUUUGAAAAAUUAUCAAAUAAAAAUGUAAUUUCUUUAUGAAAUCUGUUUAUGAAAAUCAUGCUCAAUUUUCU